CUGCCCUGCGUCACUCCCAGUCAUCCUGAGGGAAAGGAGCCUGCAAGGCUGCACGAGAGUCAAGCAGUCAAUACAGACUGUGAGGGAUGCGCCAUCUGUUGGUGACACCCAGAGAAAGUGAUAAACACAGACCCCCGGGGAGCCCCGGGCCUCUGCUGUGGAGGUGGGGACUGAACCAGUGGACAUGGCUACAUGUUGCUGUGAAUCAGGCCUAAUGCCACACAGUAUCCGGCCUCCCAAAACCUUUCUACAUGCGACCAAACUCCUCAGUA